ACAACCGUUAUUCGGAUUUACUGGGCUUAAAGGGUGCGUAGGCGGCGCGGCAAGUUGGGUGUGAAAUCCCUCGGCUCAACCGAGGAACAGCGCCCAAAACUACCGUGCUCGAGGGAGAUAGAGGUGAGCGGAACUUAGGGUGGAGCGGUGAAAUGCGUUGAUAUCCUAAGGAACACCGGUGGCGAAAGCGGCUCACUGGAUCUCUUCUGACGCUGAUGCACGAAAGCUAGGGUAGCGAACGGG
rnacentral:rRNA from 1 species